UGCGUAGGGUGCGAGCGUUAAUCGGAAUUACUGGGCGUAAAGUGUGCGCAGGCGGCCGAGCAAGUCGAGUGUGAAAGCCCCGGGCUUAACCUGGGAACUGCGCUCGAAACUACUUGGCUGGAGUGUGGCAGAGGGAGGUGGAAUUCCACGUGUAGCGGUGAAAUGCGUAGAGAUGUGGAGGAACACCGAUGGCGAAGGCAGCCUCCUGGGCCAACACUGACGCUCAUGCACGAAAGCGUGGGGAGCAAACAGG
rnacentral:rRNA from 1 species